CAACAACAAAACAAAAUACCUUGAUGCUUUUUGGAUGAUUCAAUUGUGAUAAAAACUAGUUUAUCACAAUUGAAUUAUCUAAAUAUCUUCAAUGUGUUUUUAUUACAACUA
rnacentral:pre_miRNA from 1 species